UACCUUAUAUAUUUUGAGAUCUAUUUUAGACACGCAUAACGUAUUUUUCAACACAUAAGACGCACUUUCUUCCCCCAAAGUGAGGGAAAAAUGUCAGUGCAUCUUAUGGAGCGACUACUAAUGAGCGCUUUCCAUUAUGGAAGCGCUUAUUAGUACCGGAGAACCGAGAAGCGCUGAAUGCAGUGCUCCCCGGGCUCUGUACUCACAGCUUUCUGGUCCUCCGCACGCUGUGGGCGUCGGGUCACAGCAGAGCCAAUGGCAGGAAGAAGAGAGCGCUGGAGGUAAGGAGCGUCGGCGUCCGGAGCAGCAGAGAUAAAUGGAUUUUAUUUUAUGUGAUCUGAGGCUGGGGGCUGACCAAAUGAGGCAUGGAGGUCUCAUUGGGGGCUGUGAGCCGAGGUCUCAUUAACAUUGGGCACUGGGGGUCUGAUCUGAGGUCUAAUUAAAAAUAUUUCUUAUUGUCCUCCUCUAAAACCUAGGUGCAUCUCUGAAAAAUACGGGUGUAUACUGUAUAUAUUCAUUACAUACACACACAAUUAUGGCACUAUAUAAAUAAUUUAGGUCAUUAGGUUGUCUUGAGUGUGUGCAGGAAAUACGGUAGGUUUGUUUUGACGUCUCAUACAUGUGAGCAAUGCGUGACUUACCUUGUGUUUCUAUCAGAGAAGAUGAAACUACUGUACAAUGUAUACACAGGAGGGACCUUGGGAGGUGUCACUCUGCAUCAAUACCAUAUUUAGACAACAGAAACAGCUCCACUCUUGAUCACUGGUGGGGUCUGGUAUUGCAGCUAAACAUUAUCCACAGGAAUCGAGAACAGCAGCAAGAUCAGACACCGCCUGUUGACUAGAGUUGUGCUUUCUACCAAAACUGGCAGGUUACAUCUAAUGGGUGAGCCACCUUUUAGACAGAGAUUCUCCAUUUCUUUCGCAAUUGCAAUAAAGGAGU